ACUUAACUUUGGUUCAGAUAUAAUCGAGGUUGUUAACCAUCAUCGAGAAAAAAAAAAAUAAUCAAUACGAGGGAUCAUUCAUGACCAUAAUUUUCGAUGAUGAUGAUGCAGGCAAUCCCUCCCUCCUUUGAUAAGCUCAAAAGGCUCAGUCUUGACGACUCUGCAAGAUGAUGAUGAUGGACUGAUUCCAGUUUCAGAUCCGCAGCCAACCAAUCAAAUGGAGAUAAUGUCAUGGAAUGUCCCUGCCUGAUUUUGUGGAUGAAGCCGGCUUACUCCAUUUCUCAUGGGUUAACCCAAAGAAGUCACAAAACAUAGCUAUACUGUUCUGAGCGUUGAAUGUAGCAAGAGGUGAAGCUCUUUUGGGUGAAAAUGAGAGAGGUACCUAUGAAGGCUGUGCAUAUAUUUGGACUAUAAUCAAGAACCAGCAUGUUUGUCACCCAAGUCUUCAGCACACCGUUAGGCCAGUAGGCAGGAAACACUGGUUCUUCUUUUUUCAGGUCAGGAAACACCUUUGAUGCUUCUGAAUCUGUUCUGAUGUUGAGAAACAUCUGCACCAGCAGAAUCCCCAGACUGUAGACAUCCGCUUUUGCAUUGACACAUUUAUCAGCUGCAGCGUAUGGAGGUGGGGGAUUUCCUAAAUGAAUUAGAUCAUCACCUUCACCUAUGAUCCGGGCUGCAGACCAUAAAAAGAGAAGUGUCAGUCAGGACACUCUUAACAGACUUGGCAUUCUCUAGUCAAGUUUUAAACUACCAGUUCACGUUACGGAAACAAAGACUAGAACAAGAAUCAUGGAAUGCUAAUAGUGAAUCUUGUAUGCAAAGAGGUUACAAGAACUUGUUGCUUUAAAUGAAGAGUUAUAAACAUGCAGAGCAGAUAAGCAACUCAUGUAUGCAUUUUAAGGCUAUAUGAAUCUCUUGCUUCUAAUGAGGAGUGGCGAUUACCUCU